ACCGAGUAAGUUUCUUUCUUUCUUUUCUUUUUUUGGGUUUUUUUUUUAUCAACUCUAAUAUUUGGUCAUUUCGAUAAAUUUUCUAAAGAACUUUGAUCGAGUAAUAUGCUAUUGAUCAAGAUCAUUCUACGAAGCAAAUCAAAGAUCUAUAUGAAUACUCUUCAAGAAAUUUAAAGAAAUAUUAAUAGGGACUAGUUUUUCAUUUUGCAUGGAAAGGGAAAGAUACAUAGAUCACAUACGUGGCAUGAAAAGCAAAGAA
rnacentral:lncRNA from 1 species